UUUUAACAUUCUUCUAAAAAAAAAAACAAAAGAAAUCUCUCAACUCUCUCUUGUUCUCCAGAAUCUGGCCAAAGGGGGGUGGAUUCCACGAUGGCCACUGUCGUUGACGAUAGGCUCCGCCCGUCUCUGGUGGCCGGAAAGCACCAUAAGACCCCCAUUUUGAACGUUUUGGCUACUGGAGCCUGGAUCCGGAGAUGGUUUUCAUCACAACUCUGCCAAAAAUGGUAAAAUCUGAAAGAAACCCUUCGACUUCUCUCUUGUCACACCGAAAAAAAGCCGUCCAUCAUCGGGGACGACGUCCUCUCCCUCACUCGCGGCGAUGGAAUUCGAAACAAGUCGGUAAGUUUUAAUUUUUAUUAUAUCUUAUGCCCUUCUUUUUUUUAAAUGAUAAAAAUAAAAAUAGAUAACAGGUAAAAUGAAGCAAAUCACCUUUUGCAAUUUCUUUUUUUGGAUUUCUUUAAUGCUUUUUAGCCGAAUACAAAAAGUUUGCUACUGUUUUUACUGUAUAUUUGCUUCGUUUCUGCUUUCCCCCUUUUUUGCUUGUUUGCAGGCAUUGACGAAGGCGCAGAAGGAAUUUUUUUCCAUUUCGGUGCAAGCUUGCAGAAGGACCUCGGGAUAAGGCGCCUCGAGACAAGGAGUGGGCAACGUGGCCGAGGAGAAACAACGCGGGAGAAGCCUUUAGGGUUUUGUUUUACUGAAAAUGUUUAAUCACUUUGGGCCAUUGGGCUUGUAUUUGGGUUAGGGUUAAUUUUGGGCUUCAUUUAUUUUUUUGGGCUUGUAACAAAAACUUGGAUUUUAAAAACUUUUAUUUUCUGGCAAGCCAGGCAAAUUGGACCUAUUACAUAGGUUAUCAUUUAAUACAUUAAUAAUUCAUUGAUUUUGACAUCUUCAGAUAUUUAUAUUAUGGUUAAUUUUAAAAUAAUGACGACGUACUUUAACUAUUAUUACUUAUGACACGCCCGUAAUGUUGGUAAAAUUUUUU
rnacentral:lncRNA from 1 species